GACGUAGGGCGCGAGCGUUGUCCGGAUUUAUUGGGCGUAAAGAGCUCGUAGGCGGCUUGUCGCGUCGACUGUGAAAACCCGCGGCUCAACUGCGGGCCUGCAGCCGAUACGGGCAGGCUAGAGUUCGGUAGGGGAGACUGGAAUUCCUGGUGUAGCGGUGAAAUGCGCAGAUAUCAGGAAGAACACCGGUGGCGAAGGCGGCUCUCUGGGCCUUACCUGACGCUGAGGAGCGAAAGCGUGGGUAGCGAACAGG
rnacentral:rRNA from 1 species